AGUGCUCGACAGUAGAAUUCCACUACGAGACAAUAGAACUCCGAUAAUUUGAGCUGCGACUGUGCAACCAACUUAGGAUUCAAAACUCAAGAUGUCGCCAGUGUCGCCUUUGUUGUUGUUACAAACGAGGCGAAGCCGAAAAGUGCGAAACAAAACUGUAGCUAAUUUAUACUGAUAUUCCUGUGAUUUCAAUUACCAAAUUGAAUUUCGUAUCAUAUUCUUCUAGAUGCAUACUGUCAGUGUCAGUCAUUCCAACAAGUUGACUUAGCGCUCAGUCAAUUUCCAUCCAUUAGGGCCAUCAUGCUGUCAAAAGACUAAAACUCAUGUUUGAAGAUCACAUGUAGUGGAAAACAAAUCUGCUGAGAUAAGAGCACGUAAAAGAUCCUAAUAAGCCAAUGCUGACCUUUGU
rnacentral:lncRNA from 1 species